UACGUAGGGAGCAAGCGUUGUCCGGAAUCCUUGGGCGUAAAGCGCGCGUAGGUGGCCCCAUAAGUCCGCUGUGAAAGUCAAAGGCUCAACCUUUGAAAGCCGGUGGAUACUGUGGGACUAGAGUACGGAAGAGGCGAGUGGAAUUCCUGGUGUAGCGGUGGAAUGCGCAGAUAUCAGGAGGAACACCAAUAGCGAAGGCAGCUCGCUGGGACGUUACUGACACUGAGGCGCGAAAGCGUGGGGAGCGAACAGG
rnacentral:rRNA from 1 species